rnacentral:rRNA from 1 species
GAUUAGAGUUUGAUCAUGGCUCAGAAUGAACGCUGGCGGCAUGCCUAACACAUGCAAGUCGAACGAAGGCCUCGGCCUUAGUGGCGCACGGGUGCGUAACGCGUGGGUAUCUGCCCUCAGGUUCGGAAUAACAGCGAGAAAUUGCUGCUAAUACCGGAUGAUAUCGCGAGAUCAAAGAUUUAUCGCCUGAGGAUGAGCCCGCGUAGGAUUAGCUAGUUGGUGUGGUAAAGGCGCACCAAGGCGACGAUCCUUAGCUGGUCUGAGAGGAUGAUCAGCCACACUGGGACUGAGACACGGCCCAGACUCCUACGGGAGGCAGCAGUGGGGAAUAUUGGACAAUGGGCGAAAGCCUGAUCCAGCAAUGCCGCGUGAGUGAUGAAGGCCUUAGGGUUGUAAAGCUCUUUUACCCGGGAUGAUAAUGACAGUACCGGGAGAAUAAGCUCCGGCUAACUCCGUGCCAGCAGCCGCGGUAAUACGAAGGGUGCCAGCAGCCGCGGUAAUAAU